rnacentral:rRNA from 1 species
AUUCCAGCUCCAGUAGCGUAUAUUAAAGUUGUUGCAGUUAAAAAGCUCGUAGUUGGAUUUCUGACUUCAAACACCUGACCCUCCCUCGCUAGAGGUGUGUGUGCCGGAGUGUUUGUAUCAUCCUUUCAGUGAUCGGUUCUACCCUUAACCGGGUCGGAACUGUUAACUGGAUCUUUUACUUUGAAGAAAUUGGAGUGUUUAAAGCAGGCUUACGCCAGAACAUAUUAGCAUGGAAUAAUAAUUUAGGACUUUUGUUCUAUUUUGUUGGUUUCUAGGACGAAAGUAAUGAUUGAUAGGGAUAGUUGGGGGUGCUAGUAUUCGGCGGCCAGAGGUGAAAUUCUUUGAUCCGCUGAAGACUAACUUAUGCGAAAGCAUUCACCAAGGAUGUCUUCAUCA